UAGGGAAUAUUGCAAAAUGGGCGAAAGCCCGAUGCAGCAACGCCGCGUGGGCGAUGAAGGCCUUCGGGUCGUAAAGCCCUUUUUGAGGGGAUGAGGAAGGACAGUACCCUCAGAAUAAGCCUCGGCUAACUACGUGCCAGCAGCCGCGGUAAAACGUAGGAGGCGAGCGUUAUCCGGAUUUACUGGGCGUAAAGCGCGUGCAGGCGGAUUGGAGAGUUGGAUGUGAAAGCUCCCGGCUUAACUGGGAGAGGUCGUUCAAUACUUCUAGUCUUGAGUGCAGUAGAGGGAAGUGGAAUUCCGGGUGUAGUGGUGAAAUGCGUAGAUAGCCGGAGGAACACCAGUGGCGAAAGCGGCUUCCUGGACUGUAACUGACGCUCAGACGCGAAAGCUAGGGUAGCAAACG
rnacentral:rRNA from 1 species